UUAUUUGCAAUUUUUUAUAUUCUAACAGACGAUCAUUAAAUAUGAUAGAUAAACAAGUAGAAAAGAAUAUAGUAAUACAUAAUACUCUCCUCAUAUGUAAUACUCUCCUUAAACGUAAAUCAAAUUGUUUACACCGGAUAUGAUGAUUAAAUGUUGUAUCGGCAUGGUUUUAUCUGUCUACUUUGCUUUUUCAAUUUGGUUGCCAGCUUCAACCCAAUUCUUGAUUUAGAACUAUGAUUUUGAACUAAAACAUUUCCGUGUUGAAUAAAAUACUAUUUAUUCUUAACUGUAUUUUUUUUGAGGCUUCAGUUAUCAAAUGUUGGUGGUAAUUUUAGUUAUGCCACUGUGAAAGUGUCGAUUGUUAAGCAGACAUAAAAAGUUUGAAGUAUGCACAAAGCCUGAAAGUGUCAAAUAUGGAACCUAAAAAAACCUGCCUUUGCCACUAACUGUAUAAAGGUUUUUUAAGGUCUGUUUGUCAAGCGUCAAGUCAGGUUAUCUUGCUACUGGUACCAUGUAGUACAUCCUGCUUAAGCAGGUUGUACGCCAUCCAUACGACUUUUGGGCAUCUGUUUGUAAAAUAUUGCUGCAAAUCUUUUUGAGAGAGCCAUUACUAUGGAGAACCAUCUGAACCAUACAAGUGUGGAAACAUGGAUAUUAAUGUGAAAUAAACUGAUGAGUUUAUUAAACUUAGCUGGUAAAAAAAAAAGUUUUUGUGAAACAAAUUUCAUGAAGACAAUUAUAGAAUGAAGUGCAUUUAUCUGCUGGCAACAUUUUUAAACGUGGUUCAGAUCGAAAAAAU
rnacentral:lncRNA from 1 species